ensembl:lncRNA
AAAGAAUCAACAAGAUAACUUCAAAUGGUGAUAAGUGAUAUGAAAUAAUGAAGAAGAGCGAGGUUGGCCCAAGUGAGCAGAGAAGGCCACCCGGGAGUGCUCUGUCUGUGGCUUGAAGGAUGAAGAAGAGACAGCCACAGCUGGAGCUGAAGGGAGAGCAAUCCAGGCAGAGGGAACAGCAAGUGGACAGCAAGUGGAAAGGCCCAUAGAUGAGACAUGAUUGGAUUUACAAAUGACAGGAAGGAGGCGAAUGUGGCUGGAUUGAGCAAGUGGUAACAGAAAAGGCUGGGAAGGAACUGCAGUGGGGUUGGGGCAGAUCACAUAGAGCGCUGUUGGUGCUGGGGAAAUGGGUGCUGAUUUAUGGUUUUCAAAGAUCACUCUGGCUGCUCCAUGGAGAAUGUAUUUUAAGGAGGAAAGUGUAGGAGCGGGGAGACCAUUUAGGAGACUGUCGCUACUGGGUGAUGAUGGUGCAUUGGACCAGGGAGAAGAGGCUGAUGGAUUGGAAUAUGUUGAAGAACCAAGAGGAGUUCCUGGGGUAUAGUGUGGAGAGUGGAGCAACACAGAGGAUCCAGGAUGAUUCCUUCUUUCAGGUUCUAGAAAAUCUAAGGAAUCAGAGGAGGAAGAGGAGUCAUGUUCAAGAGAAUCUAGUGGCCCCAAAGGAGAACAUAAUGUAAAAAAAUUAAGCUUUUGUUGAAUUGAUUUUAAUUUAAUAUUAAAUAAUAUAAAGUAUUUAAAUGCAUUCAAAUUGUAUUAUUAAAGAGCAUUAUCUGAUACUGAAAUAAUAAUACAGACAUAUAGUUAUACAGACAGCAAGGAGAUCCAACCAGUCAAUCCUAAAGGAACUCAACCCUGAAUAUUCAUUGGAAGGACUGAUGCUGAAGCUGAAGCUCCAGUACUUUGGCCACCUGAUGUGGAGAGCUGACUCAUUGGAAAAGAUCCUGAUGCUGGGAAAGAUUAAAGGCAGGAGGAGAAGGAAGUGACAGAGGAUGAGAUGGUUGGAUGGCCUCACCGACUCAAUGGACAUGAGUUUGAGCAAACUCUGGGAGAUGGUGAAGGACAGGAAAGCCUGGUGUGCUGGAGUCCAUGGGGUCACAGAGUCGGACAUGACUUAGCAACUGAACAACAACAACAAAUACAGACAUAAUAAUGAUAACAGCUGAUAUUGAGGGCUGACCAUGUGCCAAGCAGCAUUCCAACACAAUUUAGCACAUGAUACUCAAUUCAUCCUCACAAUUGACCUAUUAUUCCCAUUUUACAGAUGGUGAUACUGACAUAUAAAGGGGCCAAUGAAAAGCCCUAAAGUCACAUUACAGUAACAACUAGUAGAUGUUAGGUUCAAAUAACUGGCCCCUAAAGUCUGCUUGAUGGCACAGCCCGCAUUGCUAACUAUUAAGCUUGACUUGCUGCCUCUGGAAUGGUGUUUCUCAAAGCAAGUGAUGUGAACCUGCCAACAUUUGCCUUUGUGAUUCCCAUUCUCAGUCUUAUACCUGAUCUAGUCUUCAUGAAUGAUUAACUCAUUCAAUCAAACUAUAGAAAAAAUUGUGUCAUCAGGGACAAUGUACAAACAUCUUACAAGGCAAAAGGGCCUUGUUUGUACUGAGAUAUUUCUCCACUGGUCUUAGAGAGAUUCAAAUGGUUCUUCUACAGUGGGACAUCUUUAGUUUUAA